UUAUACCCUUCUCCUAAAAAAAAACACGGGAUACCUAAUGCGUUUAGGGUUUCAUUCAUAAUGCAUCCUCAUUGUCCGCCCCCAUCUUCCUUCCCCCUUCUCUCCAGAAACCCUAAAAUCGCAAGGCCGCCUCCCCGAUGAUGAUGGAGCGGUGGAGAUACACGAGCCAGAAGGAUGAAGCUUUGCAGAUCUGAGUUUUUAGCUACAUUCAAGAACGGUACAAAAACAUUCUUGCCUCAAAUUAGGAUGAUGAAGCUUCGGUGUAGUUGAAAUCAGAUGAAGAUGGCAAGCAAAACUUUGCGGAUCUAAGACUUUUUCUUUCUUUAAUAACUUUGCAGGAAACAAGCAGAGCUAGGGAAGAUGACAAGCCCGUAUCUGAUAGGUUUGCUUCGGUAUAGUUCCAAUCGGUUGAUGAAGAUGGAAAUCAGAUGAAGAUGGAGUGAUGGAGAUGACAAGCAAAACUUUGCAGAUCUGAGUUUUAUGUUGUUUAGUGGAUGAUUGUGGCAUUAGGUUCACUUGAGAUGUGAUUUCUUGUAUGUUGAAGGCUAUGAUGAUCCAGCUCUCCGUUUUAGCAGGGUGCAAGUUAAGAAGCACGUGCAAUGCUCUUGAUGAAGGAUAGAGUUAGGGCCACUAUUAUCGGAAAGUUUGUUAAACAUGGAAUGAAUCGUUGUCCGAUUGGGCUAAGGCUUCCGGGUAGCCGUUUGAAGACGUCCUUAAACGCUAGAGAUUUAGAGAUUGAACUUGGGUUGCUACAAAUGCAGCAAAUGAUUGAUAAUUUAUCCACUAAUCUUUACAACAACAGAUUUGGGGAAAUGAAGCCCACUAAUCUGGAUGAUGUUUACGGUUCGCUCUCGGCAACAAAUUCAGCAGAACUCUAACCCGCUUAGAUCAUGUUUCGGGUUUGAUUCAUCGGCUACAGUGGCACAAGCGGUGAUGAACUCGAGGUCUGGUUUGUUCGCAAAACAACGUAGCCAGAGUUUCAUUGACCAUGGCGUCGGCAACCCGAGUCUCCGGUCAAUGACUCAAUCUUCCACUUAUUCGGAAUGGGGUUCGCCUGAUGGGAAACUAGAUUGGGUUUCAAUAGUGAGGAUUCUAACAAGCUUAGAAAGUCCGCAUCUUUCGGGUUCAGAAGUGGGAGUUCGGGUUCGCCUAUGAAGGCAAAUCACAAGCCGGAAAGACGCCUUUGUUUGCAACAAGCAAGAAUGUGAAUACCUCCCAAAUGUGUUGUAUAAACUCGAAGCAGAAUAGAAAGGCGCGUUUGCGUCAAUUUGGGUGGAUGAUGACGGGUAUGUUGCGGAGGGUCCGAAUGUGAAGGUGGGUUUCGUGACGCGUGAGGAAGAGCUUAUUUUUCCGUUCAUUGACAAGAUAUUAAGCGGGUGUACUGCGAAACGGCUUCUUGAAUUAGCUCCAAAGUUGGGUGAAAACAGGAGGUUGAAGAGUGUGACAGUUGGGAAUAUUACAGUUGAGGAAGCUAAACAAGCUGCUGAGAUGAUGUAUAUUGGAAGCACCCUUCCUGUAUUACCAAUUAUUGAAUGGGAUGAAAAGCCGAUUGGCGACGGGAAAGUUGAGGAAUUGACAAUGGCGUUAUCGGACCUCGUUUGGGAAGAUAUGGUGGCUGGUACGGAGACACACAGGAUCAAGGUCCCUUAUGUAUAAAAGAAACCCGAAUGGCCGAAUUUGUGGUCAAAGUUGGUGUUGUAUUUUGAAAUCAGAAUCUGAAUAGAAGUUAAGCUUUGUGUUUGCAAGUUCUCAAGUCAUGUUGCACAGAUCAUAAUCUAUAACUUAAAUAAAGUAUAAAUUGAAGAUAAAUUAAAAAAAAUAAAAAACUUAAUAAUUGCCCCCAAGCAGGAUUGAACUACAGACCUCCAGUUUACAGACCUCCACUUAAUAAUUGCCCCCAUACACAGGCUGCUUCCUAUCCAACCUUUGGGUUGCAUAUGUUUUUGCAACAUGUCAAACCUUCCCACAAUUUAUUUUCUUCAUUGACUAAGUGGCUUGAUUGGGUUGUUCAAAAUCGACCCAAAGACAUGAUUGCCAAUGGAUACGUGGCUUCCUAUUGCAUGGUUUAUGUUACAGAUCAAACCAUCCCACAUUUUUUUUAUUGAUCAAGUCAUCUCAGCUAGAAGUUAGACUAAAUGUGCUCAUUUUUUGCAGAUUCAACAACAAGAGUUUGGUUCUUUCAGUAGUUACUGCUAGCUUCAUUCUAAACAAGAAGCCAAUAAAGAACGGCCUCCAAAGCCAAAGCUCAGAAGCAAGGAUUUGAUUAAAAGGGGCUUCCAUUCUUGUAUGAUUAUUGUUUAUGGGGGAAUUCAUAUUUGUUGUUUGGCCAUAAAAAUUAAAAGCACAUGCUUUUGUUCAUCAAAACUGAUUUUUGGUUUCUGUUUAUUUUUGGUUCUUUUAGGUCAUGUUGAGCCCAGAUGCUUGGUAUUGGUUUAACUUCUUAAUUAAAAUGCCUGGUUAGGCAACGGCUAGAGCCGAAUCUUAGCGACCCAGAGCUAAAUGCCUUGUUCUUAUUCUUUUGAUAUUGAAAUUGUUGGAUUCGUGUAGUAAAUUAACUGAAACUGAAGCGUUAAGAGUGAGAGUGUCACUGCGUCAUUGUUCGU
rnacentral:lncRNA from 1 species